AACGAACGCUGGCGGCAGGCCUAACACAUGCAAGUCGAACGCCGUAGCAAUACGGAGUGGCGGACGGGUGAGUAACACGUGGGAACGUACCCUUCGGUUCGGGAUAACUCAGGGAAACUUGAGCUAAUACCGGAUACGUCCGAGAGGAGAAAGAUUUAUUGCCGAGGGAUCGGCCCGCGUCUGAUUAGCUUGUUGGUGAGGUAACGGCUCACCAAGGCACCGAUCGGUAGCUGGUUUGAGAGAACGACCAGCCACACUGGGACUGAGACACGGCCCAGACUCCUACGGGAGGCAGCAGUGGGGAAGUCUUGGACAAUGGGCGCAAGCCUGAUCCAGCCAUGCCGCGUGAGUGAUGAAGGCCUUCGGUUG
rnacentral:rRNA from 1 species